rnacentral:rRNA from 1 species
GAUGAACGCUAGCGGCAGGCCUAAUACAUGCAAGUCGAACGGGAUCUGAGGGUAGCUUGCUACCCGAUUUGAGAGUGGCGCACGGGUGCGUAACGCGUGAGCAACCUACCCAUACCAGGGGGAUAGCCCGAAGAAAUUCGGAUUGACACCGCAUAAUAAUACGCUAACACAUGUUGAUGUAUUUAAAUAUUUAUAGGAUAUGGAUGGGCUCGCGUGACAUUAGCUAGUUGGUAAGGUAACGGCUUACCAAGGCGAUGAUGUCUAGGGGCUCUGAGAGAAGAAUCCCCCACACUGGUACUGAGACACGGACCAGACUCCUACGGGAGGCAGCAGCAAGGAAUAUUGGUCAAUGGGCGCAAGCCUGAACCAGCCAUGCCGCGUGCAGGAUGACUGCCCUAUGGGUUGUAAACUGCUUUUGUUAGGGAAUAAACCUUCUUACGUGUAAGGAGCUGAAUGUACCUAAAGAAUAAGGAUCGGCUAACUCCGUGCCAGCCGCCGCUGUAAUAC